CCAACUAGUAUUGGAGGCACUGCCUGCCCAGUGACGACCGUUAAACGGCCGCGGUAUCCUGACCGUGCAAAGGUAGCAUAAUCACUUGUUCUCUAAAUAGGGACUUGUAUGAAUGGCCACACGAGGGUUUUACUGUCUCUUACUUCCAAUCAGUGAAAUUGACCUUCCCGUGAAGAGGCGGGAAUAUAUUAAUAAGACGAGAAGACCCUAUGGAGCUUUAACUACUUAGCCCAAAGAAACAAAUUUCAUUACCAAGGAAACAACAACACUCUUUAUGGGCUAACAGCUUUGGUUGGGGUGACCUCGGAGAACAAGAAAACCUCCGAGCGAUUUUAAAGACUAGACCUACAAGUCGAAUCACGCAAUCGUUUAUUGAUCCAAAAAAUUGAUCAACGGAACAAGUUACCCUAGGGAUAACAGCGCAAUCCUAUUCAAGAGUCCAUAUCGACAAUAGGGUUUACGACCUCGAUGUUGGAUCAGGACAUCCCGAUGGUGCAACCGCUAUCAAAGGUUCGUUUGUUCAACGAUUAAAGUCCUACGUGAUCUGAGUUCA
rnacentral:rRNA from 1 species